AUUGAACGCUGGCGGCAUGCCUAACACAUGCAAGUCGAACGGCAGCACAGCAGUAGCAAUACUGUGGGUGGCGAGUGGCGGACGGGUGAGGAAUACGUCGGAAUCUGCCCAGUCGUGGGGGAUAACUAGCCGAAAGGUUAGCUAAUACCGCAUACGACCGAGAGGUGAAAGCGGGGGACCGCAAGGCCUCGCGCGAUUGGAUGAGCCGACGUCGGAUUAGCUAGUUGGUGGGGUAAAGGCCUACCAAGGCGACGAUCCGUAGCUGGUCUGAGAGGAUGAUCAGCCACACUGGAACUGAGACACGGUCCAGACUCCUACGGGAGGCAGCAGUGGGGAAUAUUGGACAAUGGGCGCAAGCCUGAUCCAGCAAUGCCGCGUGUGUGAAGAAGGCCUCGGUUGUAAGCACUUUAUCUAGACGAAAGACGACGGACGUAA
rnacentral:rRNA from 1 species